AUUGAACACUGGCGGUAUGCUUAACACAUGCAAGUCGAACGAUGAGAAAGAGCUUGCUCUUUCGAUUAGUGGCGGACGGGUGCGUAACGCGUAGGAAUCUACCUAUUAGUGGGGGACAACUUAGGGAAACUUAAGCUAAUACCGCAUACGCCCUACGGGGGAAAGAAGGGGAUCGCAAGACCUUUUGCUAAGAGAUGAGCCUGCGUAGGAUUAGCUAGUUGGUGGGGUAAAAGCUCACCAAGGCGACGAUCCUUAACUGGUUUGAGAGAAUGAUCAGUCACACUGGAGCUGAGACACGGUCCAGACUCCUACGGGAGGCAGCAGUGGGGAAUAUUGGACAAUGGGCGAAAGCCUGAUCCAGCAAUACCGCGUGUGUGAAGGAGGCCUUAGGGUUGUAAAGCACUUUCAAUUGGAAGGAAAACCUCGAAGCUAAUACCUUCGAGUUUGACAUUACCUUUAGAAGAAGCACCGGCUAACUCCGUGCCAGCAGCCGCCGUAA
rnacentral:rRNA from 1 species